rnacentral:rRNA from 1 species
CCUACGGGAGGCAGCAGUAGGGAAUCUUCCACAAUGGGCGAAAGCCUGAUGGAGCAACGCCGCGUGGGUGAAGAAGGUCUUCGGAUCGUAAAACCCUGUUGUUAGAGAAGAAAGUGCGUGAGAGUAACUGUUCACGUUUCGACGGUAUCUAACCAGAAAGCCACGGCUAACUACGUGCCAGCAGCCGCGGUAAUACGUAGGUGGCAAGCGUUAUCCGGAUUUAUUGGGCGUAAAGGGAACGCAGGCGGUCUGUUAAGUCUGAUGGGAAAGCCUUCGGCUUAACCGGAGUAGUGCAUUGGAAACUGGGAGACUUGAGUGCAGAAGAGGAGAGUGGAACUCCAUGUGUAGCGGUGAAAUGCGUAGAUAUAUGGAAGAACACCAGUGGCGAAAGCGGCUCUCUGGUCUGUAACUGACGCUGAGGUUCGAAAGCGUGGGUAGCAAACAGGAUUAGAUACCCGGGUAGUC